rnacentral:rRNA from 1 species
GAUGAACGCUGGCGGCGUGCCUAAUACAUGCAAGUCGAGCGAACAGACAAGGAGCUUGCUCCUUUGACGUUAGCGGCGGACGGGUGAGUAACACGUGGGUAACCUACCUAUAAGACUGGGAUAACUUCGGGAAACCGGAGCUAAUACCGGAUAAUAUUUCGAACCGCAUGGUUCGAUAGUGAAAGAUGGUUUUGCUAUCACUUAUAGAUGGACCCGCGCCGUAUUAGCUAGUUGGUAAGGUAACGGCUUACCAAGGCGACGAUACGUAGCCGACCUGAGAGGGUGAUCGGCCACACUGGAACUGAGACACGGUCCAGACUCCUACGGGAGGCAGCAGUAGGGAAUCUUCCGCAAUGGGCGAAAGCCUGACGGAGCAACGCCGCGUGAGUGAUGAAGGUCUUCGGAUCGUAAAACUCUGUUAUUAGGGAAGAACAUACGUGUAAGUAACUAUGCACGUCUUGACGGUACCUAAUCAGAAAGCCACGGCUAACUACGUGCCAGCAGCCGCGGUAAUACGUAGGUGGCAAGCGUUAUCCGGAAUUAUUGGGCGUAAAGCGCGCGUAGGCGGUUUUUUAAGUCUGAUGUGAAAGCCCACGGCUCAACCGUGGAGGGUCAUUGGAAACUGGAAAACUUGAGUGCAGAAGAGGAAAGUGGAAUUCCAUGUGUAGCGGUGAAAUGCGCAGAGAUAUGGAGGAACACCAGUGGCGAAGGCGACUUUCUGGUCUGUAACUGACGCUGAUGUGCGAAAGCGUGGGGAUCAAACAGGAUUAGAUACCCUGGUAGUCCACGCCGUAAACGAUGAGUGCUAAGUGUUAGGGGGUUUCCGCCCCUUAGUGCUGCAGCUAACGCAUUAAGCACUCCGCCUGGGGAGUACGACCGCAAGGUUGAAACUCAAAGGAAUUGACGGGGACCCGCACAAGCGGUGGAGCAUGUGGUUUAACUCGAAGCAACGCGAAGAACCUUACCAAAUCUUGACAUCCUUUGACAACUCUAGAGAUAGAGCUUUCCCCUUCGGGGGACAAAGUGACAGGUGGUGCAUGGUUGUCGUCAGCUCGUGUCGUGAGAUGUUGGGUUAAGUCCCGCAACGAGCGCAACCCUUAAGCUUAGUUGCCAUCAUUAAGUUGGGCACUCUAAGUUGACUGCCGGUGACAAACCGGAGGAAGGUGGGGAUGACGUCAAAUCAUCAUGCCCCUUAUGAUUUGGGCUACACACGUGCUACAAUGGACAAUACAAAGGGCAGCGAAACCGCGAGGUCAAGCAAAUCCCAUAAAGUUGUUCUCAGUUCGGAUUGUAGUCUGCAACUCGACUACAUGAAGCUGGAAUCGCUAGUAAUCGUAGAUCAGCAUGCUACGGUGAAUACGUUCCCGGGUCU